AAGAACCUGAAGGUUUUUUUUUUUAUCCAAUGCUGGUGAUUGGGCAGCUUAAUUUUAUGUUUCUGAAGUAGGGGAAACUAAUGGGAAAAAUGGGUGUAUAAUAAAUGGUAAUUUGCAUUUCAUAACACUUAGAUUUUGAAUGUUUGAAAUGUUAGGUUGGCCUGAUUGCUGUGAACUAUCUUAUGAAUAAUAUACAUUUGAAAGGAAUUUCUAUAACACAAAUAGUGUAAUCCUGGAAAAAUAUAAAAGUGAUGUAGUCAAGGAAGUUAAUGAUAAUUCAAUUUAGAAAUUAUGUUGAU
rnacentral:misc_RNA from 1 species